CAAAUAAUGAACCCUUGACAAUAACUGAUCUGAAAUUCCCUCCGAGUCCUGCACAAUUGUUUGCGUGAAUAGCAUUGGAUUAAUUAACCAUUCUUAAAACCCAUUUUUGUUUGCAGAGUGCUGGUGGACCGGGCACUGGAAGUGAUAUUGGGCUGAUUGCGAGGUUCUGCUGUGGGACCUUUCUCGGUCCAUAUUUCCUCACACGACCCAUUAUGCUGUGGGCCCUUUUUAGGUGGAUUUCAGUUUGUAGUUAGUGGAUUAUUAAUCAUCUUGUGUGCUGUCAAAGUUGGUCCCUGUAUCUUACCAAGGGCUCGAGCUGGAAGUUUUGGGGGCCAAGUAAUGCUUCCACUAGCUCAUACUAUUGAGCACGAAGAGUUAUUGGAGGUCAUUAAGUUGGAAGGUGUUCGCCAUUAUCCUGAAGAUGCAAUAAUGCCUAGAGACAUGUUUCUCUUGCAAUUGUUUACAAAUUGAUAGGAAGCUUUGAAAAAGCGACAUGAAGAGUCUUUAGAGCCUAAGGCAAUACCUUUAACUCAGGAGCAGCUGUCAAUCGAGAUUCUUGGAAAGAAAUCGGGAUACUUAAAAGGCGUU